GGGUCAGUAGGUUGGUCGUGCCACCGGUACGUACUGGUCUCACUGAUUCCUCCUUCCUGAAGAACCGUAAUGCCAUUAAUUUGGUGUUGCGGGGAAACAGGACUGUACUUUGAAAAAAUUAGAGUGUUUAAAGCAAGCUAACGCUUGAAUACAUUAGCAUGGAAUAAUGAAAUAGGACGAUCGAUCCUAUUUUGUUGGUUUCUAGGAUUGACGUA
rnacentral:rRNA from 1 species